AACAAAGCCAUGUACGCGCUGCUCUGGCGGAAGAGUUGGCUGUUUUAAGACAAGUGGAUGAGUUUGCAGUGAAAGGGAUAAGUCCUCCAAGAGGAAAGAAUGGCUUUGCUAGGGCGUCAUCGUUGUCACCUAAUGCAAGGAUGGCC